CCAGACUCCUACGGGAGGCAGCAGUGGGGGAUAUUGCACAAUGGGGGGAACCCUGAUGCAGCGACGCCGCGUGGGUGAAGAAGCGCCUCGGCGCGUAAAGCCCUGUCAGCAGGGAAGAAAAUGACGGUACCUGAAGAAGAAGCCUCGGCUAACUACGUGCCAGCAGCCGCGGUAAUACGUAGGGGGCAAGCGUUAUCCGGAAUUACUGGGUGUAAAGGGAGCGCAGACGGCAGUGCAAGUCUGGAGUGAAAGCCCGGGGCUUAACUACGGGACUGCUCUGGAAACUGUGCAGCUAGAGUGCAGGAGAGGCAGGCGGAAUUCCUAGUGUAGCGGUGAAAUGCGUAGAUAUUAGGAGGAACACCGGCGGCGAAGGCGGCCUGCUGGACCGUAACUGACGUUGAGGCCCGAAAGCGUGGGGAGCAAACAGGAUUAGAUACCCUUGUA
rnacentral:rRNA from 1 species